rnacentral:rRNA from 1 species
GACGAACGCUGGCGGCGUGCUUAACACAUGCAAGUCGAACGGAAAGGCCCUGCUUUUGUGGGGUGCUCGAGUGGCGAACGGGUGAGUAACACGUGAGUAACCUGCCCUUGACUUUGGGAUAACUUCAGGAAACUGGGGCUAAUACCGGAUAGGAGCUCCUGCUGCAUGGUGGGGGUUAGAAAGUUUCGGCGGUUGGGGAUGGACUCGCGGCUUAUCAGCUUGUUGGUGGGGUAGUGGCUUACCAAGGCUUUGACGGGUAGCCGGCCUGAGAGGGUGACCGGCCACAUUGGGACUGAGAUACAGCCCAGACUCCUACGGGAGGCAGCAGUGGGGAAUAUUGCACAAUGGGCGGAAGCCUGAUGCAGCAACGCCGCGUGCGGGAUGACGGCCUUCGGGUUGUAAACCGCUUUCGCCUGUGACGAAGCGUGAGUGACGGUAAUGGGUAAAGAAGCACCGGCUAACUACGUG